GUGAUCAGGUGCCACAUCUGAGAUGUGGACACAUUAGUAGAGGCACUAUGCAUAUAUAUGGUAAGAAACAAUUCCUAAACCAAAGAGAUUUCAAGUUAUUAUCAUUCAUGUUUAAGAGAUGGAUAACUGAAUGUAUGUGCACACAUUUGGGGUACCCAGUCAGUGAUGAGGUAGCUUACUUUAAGUCACGUGAUCAUAGGUCAGGUCUAGGGUAUACACACAUUUACUAGUGCUGGGAACCAUGCUGGGAACCUGAUCUAACCUGAUCUAAGUACAUUGGGGUGGGGACAGGGGCAGGUGGGAUUGGAUGGAGGUUAGCAGGUCUGCUGGGCAGGCUGGUGAGUCUGCAGGAGAGAGUUGUCUGUCUGAGAGCAUGGGGACUCGGAGAAGAGAUAAAAAUAGCUUGGUCAGGGUGUUGAGGGGGUAGGAAGAGAGCAUCCCUGGGGCUAGGAUAAGCAGUUGGGAUUUCUCAGCCCCAGGGCUGCGCUCUGAACAUGUACAUACAUCUUUUAAUUCAAGCUAACCCUAACUUACUGCAUCUCUUAAGGAGAACUAAUUUAGAUUUGACCAGACAUUUUUGCCUGAUCUAACCUCCCAAAAUGUCUAUACAGAUCAACACUUAGAUUGACCUAACCUAGGUAGGUCAAUCUAAGUGGAAUGUCUGCACAUACCUGGAAGCACAGAGAAAUUACUUACCUAAGGUCCAGUAGGAAGUUUGUGAGAGAGCUGGUUAAUGAACCUCAACUUCCUGAGUUCAAAUCUACUCCAUUAGCCUGGCUCUUCCUCUUUAAAUUAGCCAGAGUAUAGCAGAGAAUCUAUGAUAGGAAAAGCAGAACAAAAUGGAAGAGAGGUUGGAUGUUAGCCAAAAGAGUUAGAAUCAAAAUGACAUACCCUUACUACCUUGCACUCUCAGUAUCCGCUAACAGUAUCCACCUAUUUUCCAAUACAAAAAUGAUUUUUGGACUUGGUCUGAAAGGUCAUCAAAGUUAGCCUUUUCUGGACAACAGGGAGAAUUGUAUUAUAAAGCCAGGGCUACAUCGCUGAGGAUAAUCUGACCAAUGUCCCAAAAUUAGACAUACUUGAUGUUCAGCUGAGUACAAGUACUAAAGUGAAUAAUGGGAAGGGUGUUAUCUCUUAGAAAUCCUAGUCCUAAGCAUUUUAGGGGAUCUGAAUAUUUUUUUUCCAUAAGAGCAUUGGUGAGGAAUGCCACAUUCAUCAUAGAUGCAAUGUGUUAUUCAUGGUUGUGUAGUGCCUUAACUAAACAGUGGUAACUUCUAAAAAUCUGUUCUUCAUGAUUAAGAAUUCCUUUAAAUGUAUUUUUCAGUAUUAUUUAUAGACCCCUUUAUACUCUUCUCUUGGUAAACAAAAUUCAGCAAGAAGCAUACAGAUUUACUAAUGUACUUCAGCAUAAGCAGGGAUUUUUUUACAUUUCACCAAGCAUAUUUGUAUUUUUUUUCUCAAAGAUUAUAUAAUAUUAGUUAAAAUAUAAGUUGCUUCCAAUGGAGAAGGGAAAGGGGGAGAGGGAUAACUGUGGGCAAGAUAAGAAACAGCUAAGGUAAAUUUCCGAGGGCAGAAAAUGAAGGUCACUGUUCUUUCCAUGUAAACAAGUCUUUAAAACCAGCUGCAUCUCACAUACACUGUUUUUUUUUUUAUGGAGAGUUUUAUUAAUAUUGUGCCUCUGAAGCUUCUGAAAUUCUGAUUUAUGUGAUGCUAGGCAGGAAACAAUCUUUUCAAAGGCAUUAGUUUUGACAUGUACUUAUCUGCAUGGCAAGCUUUAAUAAAUCUUCAGUUUCAUAAGGUAUUUGUUUACACAGAGCAUUGUUUCCAGAAAUAAAGUAAAUAGCACACAUACCCUCUGAAGUUAGACCACCCACACAAGACAAUAACCUUUGAGAUGCAAUAAAGAAAAAAGAAUGGUCACUUGGCAGGAAGUCCCAGUAGAGUAAAGAUGCCAGCAUUUACAGCUGAAUCCAAAUGUUCAACAGAUGGUAAACUGAAUAAGGUACAGCUGGAACUAUAGCACUAUGUGGGGAAAAAGUACAUGAUGAAGAGUGGAAGUUGAAAUGCAAAAGCGGAAUAUUAACAAGGUAUCUUGGAACAAUAGUGAAACAAGGUCAGUCUAAGUCAUAUUAUUAAAGAUUCCAGCUGAGAAAGAUAAUAGGACCCUGCUGGACUAAUUUUGGCUUUAAUUUAUGACAUGACCUUUGGGCACAAAGGAUGACAUUUUAAUAUAAGACAUUUCUUUGCUAUAAGUUAGAUUUGUUCUGCUGUAAAUUCUCUCAAAAAUAUUUUGCAUGAAUAUUUAUUUUACAUUCCUGCAUGCAUAUGAAGUGUAAGACACCACCAUAUCUACUAUUUCUACUCGCUUAUUCUUUGAAGCUGCUAAAUGUAAAAAUAUUAAUUUUUUUAAUAUAUGAUUUCCCAUAGAUUUAAAAUUGUAUCAAUAAGGAAUAGUAUCUUGAAAUUAAAAACAGAGCUGAAAUGAGCUGUUUACCAGAGAUUAUUGCCACAGGUCCAUGCUUUCUUAUGCCACUAUAUUCAAUCUCUUAUCUGAAGUUUAUUUUUUGUAACCACUGGCUAGGUACUAUUUCCUCAUUCCUCAGAAGUUUCUCCAUUGCCUUUUACUAUAGGGUUUAGAGAAGGAACAGUGUCAAAACGUGAUGCAAGACAGUGGGAAUAAAGGGUCAUCUUUUCUACAGAGAAUGCUUCUCUCUGACUUGUGCCAAAAGUUUCCAGGAGUUACUUGUGGUAAUCUCUUAAUGGCCACUCACUUCACUGUCAUGUCGCUAACUGCCUAGGGACAGGGUAGCUCUGCAAAAUCAGAAAGCCAAUGGAAACCUAAUAUGGGAGCUUGUAAUGUUGCCAGAGGAGAUGGGGCAUUGUAAUAAUCUUCAGGGAAAUGCUUCAUAUUAGUCUGAAUUCAGUGAGAUUUGGAACAGUUUCUCCAUUUGUUCAUUGCACUCCAUCAUGACAUCUACCAAACUGAAAGUCUGGAUAGAUCCUUUGGAGUUCUAUUGAUCUUAUAGUACUGAGCUUCUAGCCCACUGGCACUACUUAUUGUUUGUGUACAACACACACACACACACACACACACACACACACACACACACACACACAGGGCCAGAUUCUGAUCUUUAAUUUUGUACACCCGCUCAGAUAGUUAAUAGUGAAAGUACCAAGAUGCAAGUACAAAAGUCAGGUUCCAAAAUUGAUGCAAACUGCAUCCACCAGUUUCGGUGACUUCUUAAAAAUACUGCAGUGUCUGAUUAAAUGAAAGAAAAUAACUCCUUUGUCAUUUAAUAUGAAAUAGAAGAAGGAGCAAGGGCAUGUUGCCUAUUUUCAAUUGUCUCAGAGUUGCUAUGUUACCCCAAUCAAAGACCAGUGCCCUGUUGUAUGAGCAUUGUACAAUCAUGCAAUAAAAAGACAGUGCUUAUCAUUAAAAGAUUACAGUGCACCUUAAAGAUAAGAUGUAACAGGUGGUUGAAACAAAUCAAUGAGUGUGUGGGGAGGAUAAUCAUAAUUAUAGCAUAAGGGCUACUUAGUCAACAGUAGCACACUCAUAAAAGAACCUUUGCUACACUGUUAUUUCAGAGAAAGCAUGUAGCUUUUAUUUGUUACAAUAUCUGUUCUGAAAUGUCUUUUUUUUUUUAAUUUUGCAGGGGAUAUGCUCUGUGGCAAAGGACUAUUUGAAUAACUAUCAAUGCAGAAAGUAAUUUCUCUUAAAGUGAAAAUGCUGCCAGAAUAAUGCUAGGUUUUCAAAUAUGAUUGAAGAGAAUACAUUUAUGGUCCCCGUUUUGUCUUGUCCUACACAAGUCUUUACAGUGUGUUUAUGUAAAGAUAUUAACUUCCAACUGCUGUUUAGCUGCUAUGAUGCAUAGGUCCAGAAGGUCUGAAUAAUGUUCAUAAGCAUCCACAGUUUGGCAGGCCUGUUUAGCUGAAACUCCAAAUCCAUUCAAAGCUCUCUUGUUAUUAAAUGUGUUAAGUAGAAUUACAUUCAGCUGCAUACAUUUAUGGGAAAUUAACCUCACAAAAACAGAUACAAAGGUUUGUUUUAAUUUUGGAACAGGUUCAUAAAAGUGUUUGUAUUUGUAUUAAACAAUGCAGACUGCAAUGCUUAACAUUUUAAGAGGUUUUAACAUAGAUGAAUAGUAAAGUUUUAAUAAGUAUCCCCCUCACUAUUUUUAGCUUAACUCACUUUCAUAAAAACUAUAUUGGAUCACAUAUUUUCAAUAACAAAAGCAAAUUACAAAAGAAGAAAAAAAAAAGAAACCCCCCAUAGCAUAUGCUAUGCAUAAAAUUAAACAACUUUACCCCAAAUUAUAGUGUAAGGUUAUCCAAAUCAAAUAGCAAAUCAUUAUUUCUGUUUUAAUUAUAACUGAAGGGAGCUAUAAUUUAAUGCAUUCCAAUCUUUUUGUUUGUUUGUUUGUUUUUGUUUAGUGCAUAAUAUAGUUUUAACUUUACUUUUAAACUAUGAAUGUAAAAAUCUCUUUAAUUAUUGGUGCCCCACAUGAGAUCUCACAGUUCUUUCUUAAGUACAGGAGAGAUUUACAGGAAAAGUGCACUGUCUGCUAUGCUGCUGACCCAGUGUGUGAUCCUGAGUUAUGCUGGAGCCAGGAACCUGGAAGUCAUGGGAACAUAGAGUGCUGAAGCAGGCAGGCUGAAGAAGUACCAGGGUGGUUAACAGCUGUGUUGUGGCCAUAGAGUGAAUGCAUGGUGUUUUCAACCUGUCAUGAUCACUCCAUUUUUCAGGUGUCUUGAAGGAGAGUUCUCUGUGGGAGAUUUCAAUUUCAAGUAUUUGGCAAGUUCGGAGGAAACAUUGUUUAACCAUUUUUUUUUGUUGUUGUUUUUGAGGGGAAGGUUGACCAGCUCUAAAAAGACAAAAUUAGCAAAUUUUCCUUUCUUGUUUCUGUAUACUGUGAAUGCAUUUGGACUGUUCUGCAUGAUAUAUCCAACCCCCUGUUAUGUUGUUACAUUGAUUAUAAACAUUAUUUUUUACCACAUGAAAAAAACAAAUCUCCUGCUAUAUAGCAGAAUAGCAAAUGAGUCCUUAGAACUAAUGACAAAAUAGCAAAUUUCUGUGGAAUUCCUACAGUGCUUCAAUGAAAGGAAGGGACUUUGAGGUCUUGUGGCUAAAGUACUGAAAAAGGCCUUAGAAGGCAAGAACUAAUAUUGUAAGCUCCUUCACUAAUUUCCUAUUUGACCUUGGGAAAAUCCUUUAUGGCCUUUUAGAGGUGUUGAGUACUUGCAACUGCUACUCACUUGAAUGCCCAGUUCUCAAAAUCUAGCCAUUAAUCUCUAACUCUCUCCCUUUGUCAUUUGUAAAAUGAUUUACAGCACUCCAGUAUUUUUAAGAUACAUCCAUCAAUUUAUGUGAUUUAGAAUCUGUCAAUAAAGAGAAAAUAAUUAGGGAAAAUAGCUUUUUUAAACUUUUUUUUUUUUUUUUUAUGGCAGCACUGGUACCACAGUAGCAUUUCUAACCAAAUGAACAUCAUAUUUGGCAAUUCUCAGAUAAAUCUAGAAGUUGAAUGCUGCCCUCAUAACAUUAAUACUGUUGAUAUUGUGAAAGUCAAGAGAAUCCAUGAUAAUUUAUCAUGUUUAAAAAAACAAAACCUAAACAUUGUCUAUACUUCCUUCUUUGAUGGUGGGUUUCUGUCAGAUAUUUUAAUAAUGUGUUUUCUAAGAAGACUACUGGAUAAUCUACUGGAGUAUAGAACCCUACUCUUGCAAAUAAAUUUAAAUAAAUGUAAUUAAAAAAA